UGGAAUGUAGCUCAGUGGUAGAGCAUUUGUUUGGCACAUGGGAAAUCCUGGGUUCAACCCCCAGUGUUUUGC
rnacentral:tRNA from 1 species